rnacentral:tRNA from 1 species
GGCCGACUAGUUGAGCUGGUUAGAGCAUCGUGCAAGGCGAAAGUGGGUUCGAUCCCCACGUUGGCCA